AAAGGCAGUUUCAGAACAUUCUACCAACCUGGAACGUGUCUGCUACGCGGUGGAGGAAUUCGAUGACAAAAAGAGGGGGCACUUCCGUCUGUAUGACAGACACAAAGAAGAUUUUGUCUCGGUAGAUGCUGAUGAGGAAGUGGUGAGGGGUGGGGAUGACAGGAGGCACAUUUUCCACGUCGGCUGCUCUUUCCUGAGCUU